rnacentral:misc_RNA from 1 species
UCCUCUUUACAGAGGCAGUUUGUUCCGAGUUCCCGACAUUACUCGCUGGCAACAGAACAUGAGGGUUGCGCUCGUUGCGGGACUUAACCCAACAUUUCACAACACGAGCUGACGACAGCCAUGCACCACCUGUGUAACACCUUCGAAAGCGACUCCUUUUGGGGAGCUUGCAGUUACAUGUCAAACCCUGGUAAGGUUCUUCGCGUUGCAUCGAAUUAAGCCACAUGCUCCACCGCUUGUGCGGGCCCCCGCCAAUUCCUUUGAGUUUCAACCUUGCGGUCGUAGUCCCCAGGCGGUUCACUUAAUGCGUUAGCUGCGGCACCGAAGAAAAAUCCCCGACACCUAGUGAACAUCGUUUAGGGCCAAGACUAC